GAAUUGCAUCACCUCCUUCUCAGGAGAGCUAUGCAAUUGGCAGUGCUGCGAAGUCAUCAGGAAUUCUUAGACCUAGCAAGCCUAAAUGGAGGGACCAUUGCUUUGUAGAACUGGAUGAAUCUGAAUUGCUAACGAUUAAGGAUUCUCCAAAUGACCCUCGCCCUCUUCUACGGCACCACAUCCAUCGUUUGCUCAGAGCAGCAGGGUGGGUAAUCGGGAGGCGUAAACGCAAUAAUAAAUUUCAUGGAAUUGGUGAGUAUGUUUACAAGUCAC
rnacentral:misc_RNA from 1 species